GGUAACAGGUAUUAGCUUGCUAAUCUGCUGACGAGUGGCGGACGGGUGAGUAAUGCUUGGGAAUCUGGCUUAUGGAGGGGGAUAACUACGGGAAACUGUAGCUAAUACCGCGUAAAAUCUUCGGAUUAAAGGGUGGGACUUUCGAGCCACCUGCCAUAAGAUGAGCCCAAGUGGGAUUAGGUAGUUGGUUAGGUAAAGGCUGACCAAGCCGACGAUCUCUAGCUGGUCUGAGAGGAUGACCAGCCACACUGGAACUGAGACACGGUCCAGACUCCUACGGGAGGCAGCAGUGGGGAAUAUUGCACAAUGGGGGGAACCCUGAUGCAGCCAUGCCGCGUGAAUGAAGAAGGCCUUCGGGUUGUAAAGUUCUUUCGGUGACGAGGAAGGUUGGUAGGUUAAUAGCCUAUCAAAUUGACGUUAAUCACAGAAGAAGCACCGGCUAACUCCGUGCCAGCAGCCGCGGUAAUACGGGGGGUGCGAGCGUUAAUCGGAAUAACUGGGCGUAAGGGCACGCAGGCGGUGACUUAAGUGAGAUGUGAAAGCCCCGAGCUUACUUGGGAAUUGCAUUUCAUAUGGGUCGUAGAGUACUUUAGGGAGGGGUAGAAUUCCACGUGUAGCGGUGAAAUGCGUAGAGAUGUGGAGGAUACCGAAGGCGAAGGCAGCCCCUUGGGAAUGUACUGACGCUCAUGUGCGAAAGCG
rnacentral:rRNA from 1 species